rnacentral:rRNA from 1 species
CGCUGGCGGCGUGCCUAAUACAUGCAAGUCGAGCGAACGGACGAGAAGCUUGCUUCUCUGAUGUUAGCGGCGGACGGGUGAGUAACACGUGGAUAACCUACCUAUAAGACUGGGAUAACUUCGGGAAACCGGAGCUAAUACCGGAUAAUAUUUUGAACCGCAUGGUUCAAAAGUGAAAGACGGUCUUGCUGUCACUUAUAGAUGGAUCCGCGCUGCAUUAGCUAGUUGGUAAGGUAACGGCUUACCAAGGCAACGAUGCAUAGCCGACCUGAGAGGGUGAUCGGCCACACUGGAACUGAGACACGGUCCAGACUCCUACGGGAGGCAGCAGUAGGGAAUCUUCCGCAAUGGGCGAAAGCCUGACGGAGCAACGCCGCGUGAGUGAUGGAGGUCUUCGGAUCGUAAAACUCUGUUAUUAGGGAAGAACAUAUGUGUAAGUAACUGUGCACAUCUUGACGGUACCUAAUCAGAAAGCCACGGCUAACUACGUGCCAGCAGCCGCGGUAAUACGUAGGUGGCAAGCGUUAUCCGGAAUUAUUGGGCGUAAAGCGCGCGUAGGCGGUUCUUUAAGUCUGAUGUGAAAGCCCACGGCUCAACCGUGGAGGGUCAUUGGAAACUGGAAAACUUGAGUGCAGAAGAGGAAAGUGGAAUUCCAUGUGUAGCGGUGAAAUGCGCAGAGAUAUGGAGGAACACCAGUGGCGAAGGCGACUUUCUGGUCUGUAACUGACGCUGAUGUGCGAAAGCGUGGGGAUCAAACAGGAUUAGAUACCCUGGUAGUCC